CCUGAUUUGGCAGGCAGGCUCCUGCACCCCACUUGUCAGAGGGAGCAUUUGUCGUGUUCUACAAAAUCUGGGGCCAGAGGGGCCUUCAGGAAGCAAAGUUUUCCUGUUUCCUCUUCCUCACACAAGAUACUUGAUUACCCAUCUACAUAUCCCUGCAAAGGCUGUCUCCCAUGACUCCUACAAAGUAGGCAUCUAAUGAAUGCUCACUGAUCAAUUAAUUGACCUUCAAGAACAUAGCACACUCUUUCCCUGACACGUGGUCUCUGCAGUUUCUGAAAUAUUUAGACUUGGGUCAAUAAAACCAUUCUAGAAAGUCCAGUAUCUCCCCUGUACACCUGGAAUUAAACAGAGACUCCAGUCGUUGCCUUUUAAAGAUCUUGAGAAUUUAGCUAUAUGCUACUUGGUUAGUUAUAUACUGUUCUCUUCCAUGGGUUUUACUGUAAUUGCCUGCUUAGUUUUGAUUUCACAUGACUCUUCAUUUCCAGAAAUCCCUUACGACUGGCACAAUGUGCCUGGCGCAUAGUAGGUGAUCGAUACAUGUCUGCUGAAUUGAAUGAGAUUGAAAGUAUAUGCAUAUUAAAAGCUUGUUCACCAA